AAUGCUUAGGAAUCUGCCUAUUAGUGGGGGACAACAUUCCGAAAGGAAUGCUAAUACCGCAUACGCCCUACGGGGGAAAGCAGGGGAUCUUCGGACCUUGCGCUAAUAGAUGAGCCUAAGUCAGAUUAGCUAGUUGGUGGGGUAAAGGCCUACCAAGGCGACGAUCUGUAGCGGGUCUGAGAGGAUGAUCCGCCACACUGGGACUGAGACACGGCCCAGACUCCUACGGGAGGCAGCAGUGGGGAAUAUUGGACAAUGGGCGCAAGCCUGAUCCAGCCAUGCCGCGUGUGUGAAGAAGGCCUUUUGGUUGUAAAGCACUUUAAGCGAGGAGGAGGCUACUUGGAUUAAUACUCUAGGACAGUGGACGUUACUCGCAGAAUAAGCACCGGCUAACUCUGUGCCAGCAGCCGCGGUAAUACAGAGGGUGCGAGCGUUAAUCGGAUUUACUGGGCGUAAAGCGUGCGUAGGCGGCUUUUUAAGUCGGAUGUGAAAUCCCUGAGCUUAACUUAGGAAUUGCAUUCGAUACUGGGAAGCUAGAGUAUGGGAGAGGAUGGUAGAAUUCCAGGUGUAGCGGUGAAAUGCGUAGAGAUCUGGAGG
rnacentral:rRNA from 1 species